CCAGACUACCUAGAAUAUAAAAUAGCAUUUCUCAGACGUAUAGAAAACAUAGUGUAUCUAUAGCAACAUCAUCAAUAGAAAAACCUGCAUGGUUAGUUCCUUCAUGUUAAUAACAUGUAAUACUGGGGAAAGGUAAUGCUGUAUACUUCACUGUGUUAGGCAUCUCUCUACUCAACAUUAGGUUAUACCUUCAUCCCUCUAUGUUCACAGUUGAAGGGAUGAGAGAUGGAGGGAGGGGUAGAGGAGGGGUGGAGGGAGGGAUGGAGGAGGGAUGAAGGAGGGAUGAAGGAGGGAUGGAGGGAGGGGUAGAGGAGGGAUGAAGGAGGGAUGGAGGGAUGGAAGGAGGGAGGGAGUAGGGAUAGAGGAGGGAUGGAUGGAGGGAGGGAAGGAGGGAGGGAUAGAGGAGGGAUGAAGGGGGAUGGAGGGAGGAGGGGGAUGGAGGGAGGGGUAGAGGAGGGAUGAAGGAGGGAUGGAGGGAUGGAAGGAGGGAGGGA
rnacentral:lncRNA from 1 species